rnacentral:lncRNA from 1 species
AUCCCAGAUUUCAGGAUAAAAUAAUAAUGACCUGUGCACAACCACUCUGACCUUGGUUAAUUAUUUAACUCUCUCAUCAUUGAAACACAGAUAAUAAUACCAGCUUCUUAGUGUAGUGUGUGUUAUGGGAACUGAUACUCUAACAUUUUUAUUACAGGCACAUAGAAAGAACUUAGUUAAUGCUAAUAGGAUGAUAUGGGCGAUAACACUUUCUGCUCAGGUCAGACCUGGAUAUAGAAGCAUCCUGUUUGAGAUAGGGGUCAUUCACCCAUGUGUGGUGUGUGGUAUAGGAAGCAUCUCAUCCUAGAGAGUCCUAAAUCAUUGACAAUACUGAAAUUUAAAAUAGCCAGAUAAAAGUGUCCCUGAAAGGUAAUUUCUCUGUAUUUUUCCCAGCCUUCACAGUUAGCAGACAUCUGGCAGCCUUUCAGUGUAACUCCUUACCAAUCUGGGGGAUUUUCCAUUUGGCUUGGCUACUUCAACUCUUCUUUUAUCCUAGGGUCAUCACCAGGGCUAUCACCAAGAAAGCCUUCUCACCCAGUCAUGGAUUUUUUUUCAGUUCAUGUCUUUUAGGUGACUCUUCUUCACCAGCAACCAAUUCUACCCAUACAGAUCCCCAUGAAAUAAUUGUAGGUGUUUGCUUUGUUUCUGAUGAAAACCUUCAGAAGAUGGAAAAGGUCCUCAAUCUUUGGAGUUCCGGUCUUAAGACAAACAUUAUAUCUGAACUAAGCAAAUGGAGACUUAAUUUUAUUGACUGGCACCAAAUGGAAAUGAAAAAAGAGAAGGAAAAACAUGCAGCACAUGUAAAGCAACUGUGCAGCCAGAUCAAUGACUUGAAGGAGCUGCAGAAAGCCUUUGAAAUUUCCAUUAGGAGAAAAGAUGAGGUGAUUUCCAGCUUGUCUCAUGCCAUCAGCAAACAAAAGGAAAGGAUAGAGUUGAUGCAAACAUUCUUCCACUGGCAGAUUGGCCAUGUCAAAUCCAGACAGAAUGUUUAUGAAGGUAAACUAGCUGACCAGUACUUCCAGAGAACAUUACUGAAGAAAGUCUGGAAGGGCUGGCAUUCUCUCAUACAAAGGCAGUGGAAAGAAGUGGUAGAGCGAGCUUGUCAAGCAAGAGCUGAAGAAGUUUGCAUCCAGAUUUCCAAUGAUUAUGAGACCAAAGUUGCUAUGGUAACCUCUUAUAUUUCGCUUUCUUUUAAUGCAAUAAGAAAGAUGAGUAGAUUCAUUAUUAGUUUAUAGUUAGGUUUCUCUUUUCAUAUAGCCAAAAAUAAAAACAUUAAAAAAAGAUUUUAUCCUCAUAUUUAAAUUUUAUUCUUAUAAGGAUGGUAUAACCAGGCAUGGUGGCAAAUGCCUGUAAUCCCAGCACCUGGGAGGCUGAGGCAGGAGGAUUGCUGCAAGUUUGAGGCCAGCCCCUGAACUACAUAGGGAGACCCUAUCUCAAAAAGAAAAAAAAUGUUGGUACAAAGCAGAUGUACAUGCAUUGAAAUUAUUUUUCUUUGACUUUUAAUAAUAAAAUUAAUAGUUUCCAUGGUAAAAUAUUUAGGACCUAAAAUGAAAUUAGAACAAUCUGAAAAAUGUAGUAGACUUCAUGAAAUAAAUAUUAUAAGGAAAAUUUACCAUUAUGGCACUAAAUUCUUAAUAUUAAAAAUAAAUUUCAGGGCCGGGGAUUUAGCUUAAAUGGUUCUAGUGCCUGCCUCGCAAGCACAAGGACCUGAGUUCAAUCCCCAGUAUCAAAAAAAAAUUUUUAAAUAAAAAUAAAAAAUAAAUAAAUUUCAUAGUACAAAUAAUUUUGUCCAAUUCAAGUGACAUGCAAAAAUGUAGUCCCUGUAUGUUUGGUCCAGGGGGAAAAUGGGCUGUACCCUAAAACCACUCUGCACUUUAAAUUCUGUAGGUAACAUUCACUUUCUUAAACAUCUAUACAUGUUGCAUUUAAGGUUUUGUUUUUGUUUUUGUUUUCUCCAGAAUGAAUCAGGGUAUCUGUGGCUCAUGUAAAUAAAUUAUUUUGUUUAAUAUCCUACAUAAAAGUUGUGUGGUAAAAAUGACCUAUUUUUAUAUGGAG